GGAAAGGUGGCAGAGCCCGGUUUAAUGCACUGCUUUCGAAAAGCAACGAUCUUGCAAAAGAUCCGCGGGUUCAAAUCCCGCCCUUUCCG
rnacentral:tRNA from 1 species